CCCUGGUUAGCUCAGUUGGUAGGGCGCUCCCCUGUAAUGGAGAGGUCCCGGGUUCGAUACCCGGACCAGGCG
rnacentral:tRNA from 1 species